rnacentral:rRNA from 1 species
UUUAAAUUGAGAGUUUGAUCCUGGCUCAGGACGAACGCUGGCGGCGUGCCUAACACAUGCAAGUCGAGCGAUGAAGCCCUUCGGGGUGGAUUAGCGGCGGACGGGUGAGUAACACGUGGGUAACCUGCCUCAAAGAGGGGAAUAGCCUCCCGAAAGGGAGAUUAAUACCGCAUAAUAUGUUUUGAUCGCAUGAUUGAGACAUCAAAGGAUUCUCUUUAGAGUUUCCACUUUGAGAUGGACCCGCGGCGCAUUAGCUAGUUGGUGAGGUAACGGCCCACCAAGGCAACGAUGCGUAGCCGACCUGAGAGGGUGAUCGGCCACAUUG